GAUGGAAAAAGUUAAGGGGUUAGAAAUUUGGUGUCCUGUCGCAUUUAAAAGAUCCUCGACACUCAGCAGUUAUUUAGGAUGGUUCAGGAAGAUCUCAGGCCGACCAGGCUGGCAGGGAGAACUCCAGAUGACGGGCUUCUGAGCACAGAAAAAGUCGAAAUCACAAGCAGGCUGAUGGAAUCCUCCCUCUGCAGUAGCCUGCUUGGGCUGGCUCAGUUAUCCAUGGUGGCAGGAGCCAAGGGAGAAGAGAUCCAAAGUGAAGAAGCUACUACCGGUGAGACUUAGUAGAUAGAGGCAGGCCCUGCUCUUUGGGGCCCAGCACAGAGAUGAGGGCCUCAUGAGAUGCCAGCUCUUCUACAAAGUCGGUCUCACCGUCUUCAGGAAAAGCCAAUACAUCCCUACUUAGAGCUGUUCUGAGUGAUUCUUCUGGCUUCUCCCACACUAAUCAGCUUAUAUGUUAAUUCAGUGUUUCUGUGGUUGGGUCCCUUAUAAAGCUGUGUUUCCUGAGGGCAAGGACCAAGUAUGCUCAUCUUUCUGUGUCCAGAGUGUUAUAUAACAGUAAAAGUCCACAUUUAUUGUUUCU